rnacentral:rRNA from 1 species
UCCUACGGGAGGCAGCAGUGAGGAAUAUUGGUCAAUGGAGGCAACUCUGAACCAGCCAUGCCGCGUGAAGGAUGACGGCCCUAUGGGUUGUAAACUUCUUUUGAAUAGGAAGAAACUUAUCUACGUGUAGAUAACUGACGGUACUAUUAGAAUAAGGAUCGGCUAACUCCGUGCCAGCAGCCGCGGUAAUACGGAGGAUCCAAGCGUUAUCCGGAUUCAUUGGGUUUAAAGGGUCCGUAGGCGGGUCUUUAAGUCAGUGGUGAAAGCCGACAGCUCAACUGUCGAACUGCCAUUGAUACUGGAGACCUUGAGUACAAAUGAAGUAGGCGGAAUGAGUCAUGUAGCGGUGAAAUGCAUAGAUAUGACUCAGAACACCGAUUGCGAAGGCAGCUUACUAACAUGUAACUGACGCUGAGGGACGAAAGCGUGGGGAGCGAACAGGAUUAGAUACCCUGGUAGUCCACGCCGUAAACGAUCAUCACUCGCUGUUGGCGAUAUACUGUCAGCGGCCAAGCGAAAGUAUUAAGUGAUGCACCUGGGGAGUACGCCGGCAACGGUGAAACUCAAAUGAAUUGACGGA